rnacentral:rRNA from 1 species
UACGUAGGGGGCAAGCGUUGUCCGGAUUUAUUGGGCGUAAAGAGCUCGUAGGUGGUUCGGUAAGUCGGAUGUGAAAUCUCCAGGCUCAACCUGGAGGGGUCAUUCGAUACUGCCGUGACUAGAGGUCGGUAGGGGAGUGUGGAAUUCCUGGUGGAGCGGUGAAAUGCGCAGAUAUCAGGAGGAACACCCGUAGCGAAGGCGGCACUCUGGGCAGUAACUGACGCUGAGGAGCGAAAGCGUGGGGAGCGAACAGG